GACGCUCUUGAAUCGAACGCACCAUGAUUGAGCGAGCUGCGAGCUGUCAAACUUUUUCUCUCGCGCGUGUUCAUUCAUGUUUCGUGUUGGCCGUGUUGGCUGCAGUUUCGAAUCGAAUUCAAGUUUUACUCGCGUGUGCUUAUGAAAAAUAACCUCCGUCAUCAAAUCCGCCGGAUGAACGAACCGGAACAUCUCCGGGAUGGCGGAUUUUUCUCACAUUUGGUGGGCGUGUGGAGCUGUUCGGUUACGGGACAAAACCCGCAGUGGAAACGCAGACCCGGCGCAUACUGCGGACAUUUCCGGCCACCGUCAAUAAUCCAUUCCGAAUGGAGGCCUCCAAGAUGCCAAGUGCUCGAUCUGGAAAAGCUACGAGGAGUUCGAACAUCUUCGUAGUCUACUACUUCCAACGCGGAUGCUCGUAGACGUGAAAUGCGGACAUUCCAGUUUGCCAUCAUGGUUCCUUUCUUGGUGGCAACGUAAAUUCCUGA